CCUACGGGUGGCAGCAGUGAGGAAUAUUGGUCAAUGGACGCAAGUCUGAACCAGCCACGCCGCGUGAAGGAUGACGGCUCUAUGGGUUGUAAACUUCUUUUAUACGGGAGUAAAGUCAUCGACGUGUAUUGUUUUGUAUGUACCAUACUAAUAAGGAUCGGCUAACUCCGUGCCAGCAGCCGCGGUAAUACGGAGGAUUCGAGCGUUAUCCGGAUUUAUUGGGUUUAAAGGGAGCGUAGGGGGAUGGUUAAGUCAGAUGUGAAAGUCCGCGGCUCAACCUUUGAAUUGCAGUUGAUACUGGCAGUCUUGAGUGUAGUAGAGGUAGGCGGAAUUCGUGGUGUAGCGGUGAGAUGCGUAGAUAUCAGGAAGAACACCGGUUGCGAAGGCAGCUUACUGGACUACAACUGACGCUGAGGCGCGAAAGCGUGGGUAGCAAACAGGAUUAGAUACCCGAGUAGUC
rnacentral:rRNA from 1 species